rfam:Ixodes scapularis strain Wikel colony gcontig_1108379213404, whole genome shotgun sequence.
CCCUGGUUAGCUCAGUUGGUAGAGCGCUCCACCUGUAAUGGAGAGGUCCCGGGUUCGAUACCCGGAGCAGGCG